rnacentral:tRNA from 1 species
CGGGGUGUAGCGCAGCCCGGUAGCGCGCAUGCUUUGGGAGCAUGAUGUCGCUGGUUCGAAUCCAGUCACCCCGACCA